AGUGCCACCAGCUGCUGUCACACGUCCUGUGUCACCAAUGUCACCACGGCAGUGCCACCGGCUGCUGUCACACGUCCCGUGUCACCAAUGUCACCAGCGAUGGCACCAGCUGCUGUCACACGUCCUGUGUCACCAAUGUCACCACGGCAGUGCCACCGGCUGCUGUCACACGUCCCGUGUCACCAAUGUCACCAGCGAUGGCACCAGCUGCUGUCACACGUCCAGUGUCACCCAUGCCACCACGCCGCUGGCACUGGGGUGCUGCCACGUGCCCCGUGUCCCCAGCAGGGCGCUGGCACUGCUGUCACGCUGUGCCCACGGUGACGGGCGCUGCCGCGCGUCUCCGGCGCCACCCCCGCGGGCACGUCACGUGCCCUGUGUCACCGCCGUGUCCCCUGGUGACACUGGUGACACUGGUGACACUGGGGUGACACUGGUGACACUGGUGACACUGGGGUGACACUGGUGACACUGGUGACACUGGGGUGACACUG
rnacentral:lncRNA from 12 species